rnacentral:rRNA from 1 species
CCUUCGGGGUACACGAGCGGCGAACGGGUGAGUAACACGUGGGUGAUCUGCCUUGCACUUCGGGAUAAGCCUGGGAAACUGGGUCUAAUACCGGAUAUGACCACGAACUGCAUGGUUUGUGGUGGAAAGAUUUAUCGGUGCGAGAUGGGCCCGCGGCCUAUCAGCUUGUUGGUGAGGUAACGGCUCACCAAGGCGACGACGGGUAGCCGACCUGAGAGGGUGACCGGCCACACUGGGACUGAGACACGGCCCAGACUCCUACGGGAGGCAGCAGUGGGGAAUAUUGCACAAUGGGCGCAAGCCUGAUGCAGCGACGCCGCGUGCGGGAUGACGGCCUUCGGGUUGUAAACCGCUUUUGACAGGGACGAAGCGCAAGUGACUGUACCUGUAGAAUAAGGACCGGCCAACUACGUGCCAGCAGCCGCGGUAAUACGUAGGGUCCGAGCGUUGUCCGGAAUUACUGGGCGUAAAGAGCUUGUAGGCGGUUCGUCGCGUCGUUUGUGAAAACUUGGGGCUCAACCUUAAGCUUGCAGGCGAUACGGGCGGACUAGAGUACUUCAGGGGAGACUGGAAUUCCUGGUGUAGCGGUGAAAUGCGCAGAUAUCAGGAGGAACACCGGUGGCGAAGGNGGGUCUCUGGGAAGUAACUGACGCUGAGAAGCGAAAGCAUGGGUAGCAAACAGGAUUAGAUACCCUGGUAGUCCAUGCCGUAAACGGUGGGUACUAGGUGUGGGGCUCCUUCCACGGACUCCGUGCCGUAGCUAACGCAUUAMGUACCCCGCCUGGGGAGUACGGCCGCAAGGCUAAAACUCAAAGAAAUUKGAC